rnacentral:rRNA from 1 species
AGGACGAACGCUGGCGGCGUGCUUAACACAUGCAAGUCGAGCGGAAAGGCCCUUCGGGGUACUCGAGCGGCGAACGGGUGAGUAACACGUGAGCAAUCUGCCCCUAGCUUCGGGAUAGCUCCGGGAAACCGGAAUUAAUACCGAAUACGACUACGGCCGACAUCGGCUGUGGUGGAAAGUUUUUCGGCUAGGGAUGAGCUCGCGGCCUAUCAGCUUGUUGGUGGGGUAACGGCCUACCAAGGCGACGACGGGUA